GAUGAAGAACGUAGCGAAAUGCGAUAAGUAAUGUGAAUUGCAGAAUUCAGUGUAUCAUCGAAUCUUUGAACGCACCUUGCACUCCUUGGUAUUCCGAGGAGUACGCCUGUUCGAGUGUUAUGAAGCUCUCAAAACGCAAUUGGCUUAAAACCUGAUUGUUGUUUUGGAUUUGAACUUUGCCGUGUUAUAACGGCUGGUUUUAAAAGUAUUAGCUGGUACUAGAACGAAUUGGUUCUACUCAACGUGAUAAUUAUCUGAUCGUUGAGGACAUUCCUUUCACGAGGAAUGGCCAUAGUAAAUUCAAUGGACUGCUUCUAAUCUGGCUUUAAUUCUUUAUUGGAUUAACCACUUUUCAAAUCUGACCUCGAAUCAGGUGGGACUACCCGCUGAACUUAAGCAUAUCAAUAAGCGGAGGA
rnacentral:misc_RNA from 1 species